AAUGUUUUGAUAAAUUUAAUUGUUUUUAUAAAAAAUAAUAUAAUUGCAUCAGUUUAUAACAUAUAGGUAUAUGUAGACAAUAACAAGUACCCAUGUCGAUGAGUCAAAUUGGCAUAACAGAUAGAGUAGAACAAGGUUUGUCAUUCUAGGUCCCGGGUUCAAAACCAGCGCAAAGAUUUUUUUGACAACAUAUUGUUUACUGGGUAUAUAUAUAUAUAUAUGAUAUACAUGGAACGUUCAGCUGUAUGUUUUAUAAAUAAACAAUGGAGUGCAUUUGCUGAUACAAUGGAUAUAGGGGAGACGGGGCUUAAAUUAACAGGGAAUGAGAAAUUAUAAAAAAGACGGACAGAAGGACGAAGAGUAACGAUAACGGUAACGUUACCUCAUUUAUCUGUGUUAAUUGUCAUUCUGACGACGAUGAGUAGUAAUAAUAUUUAAUAAUAAUAGUUUCUGAAUAUUAUAGUAAUAUAAAGUUAGUAGCUAUAGAUAUGUUUAAUGAAUAAUACCGAUGUGCUAUGUUCUUUUUUGUAUUUCAAAGAGAUUUAUGCAAUAUUUUUGUUGUAAGCUGUAAUAAGAACACUAUGCUGUGAUUUUUUUGUUCUUGAAUAGUAAUAUAAUGUUACUAACUAUUAUAAAUAUGUUUAAUGAAAAAUGUGCUAUGUUCAUCUUUGUAUUUUAAAAAAGUUUAUGCUAUUUAUGAUAUUUUGGUUAUAAGCAAAUAACUUUUUCUAUGUGAUUACAUGAUUUAAUUAACCUCAAAUAAAUCAAGAAUUUUAUAAAAUAAAAUAAAAUUACAUUUUUAUUUAAGAAAAAC